CGCGUACUGGGUCACCGGUCGCG
rnacentral:sRNA from 1 species